GCUUACGGCCAUACCAGCCUGUCUGCGCCUGAUCUUGGAAGCUAAGUAGGGGCGGGCCUGGUUAGUACUUGGAUGGGAGACAGCCUGGGAAUACCAGAUGCUGUAAGCU
rnacentral:rRNA from 1 species